GAUCAUGGCUCAGGAUGAACGCUAGCUACAGGCUUAACACAUGCAAGUCGGAGGGGCAGCAUGGUCUUAGCUUGCUAAGACUGAUGGCGACCGGCGCACGGGUGAGUAACACGUAUCCAACCUGCCGUCUACGUCUUGGACAGCCUUCUGAAAGGAAGAUUAAUACAAGAUGGCAUCAUGAGUCCGCAUGUUCACAUGAUUAAAGGUAUUCCGGUAGACGAG
rnacentral:rRNA from 1 species